CCGCUCUUUGAGGCCUGGGGCCGGUACUUUGCGAAGUGGGUGGAUACAUGUACCAAUUACAAAUGAAAGAAUCUUUGAUCACCGGAGUCGUUGGUGUGUGCUGAGUAAAAUCCAUCCCAAAUCCAAAUAUAUUUGUAGUGUGAGAUGAAGAUGUGGAGGUCACGAGAAAGCAAUUUUGUUAAUCACUUUAGCACCAAUUCUUGCAUCCCUGGCAAUACUCAGAACUGCCUCCAUCCAAGUCUUUGAUGUGGG